GUUCGAUCAUGGCUCAGAUUGAACGCUGGCGGGAUGCUUUACACAUGCAAGUCGAACGGCAGCCUGGACUUCGGUCUGGUGGCGAGUGGCGAACGGUGAGUAAUGUAUCGGAACGUGCCUAGUAGCCAGGGAUAACUACGCGAAAGCGUAGCUAAUACCAUACGCCCUUCGGGGAAAGCGGGGACCUUCGGGCCUCGCACUAUUAGAAACGGCCGAUAUCGGAUUAGCUGGUUGGUGGGGUAACGGCUCACCAGGCGACGAUCCGUAGCUGGUUUGAGGACGAUAUUACACUGGGACUGGGAGCCACGGCCCAGACUCCUACUACGGGAGAAUAACAGUGGGGAAUUUUGGACAAUGGGGAAACCUGAUCCAGCCAUCCCGCGUGUGCGAUGAAGGCCUUCGGGUUGUAAAGCACUUUGGCGGAAAAACGGCACGGGACAAUACCCCGUGCAACUGACGGCUACCUGCAGAAUAAGCACCGGCUAACUACGUGCCAGCAGCCCGCGGUAAUACGUAGGGUGCAAGCGUUAAUCAGGUUACUGGGCGUAAAGCGUGCGCAGGCGGUUCGGAAAGAAGAUGUGAAAUCCCAGAGCUUAACUUUGGAACUGCAUUUUUAACUACCGAGCUAGAGUGUGUCAGGGAGGUGGAAUUCCGCGUGUAGCAGUGAAAUGCCGUAGAUAUGCGGAGGAACACCGAUGGCGAAGGCAGCCUCCUGGGAUAACACUGACGCUCAUGCACGAAAGCGUGGGGAGCAAACAGGAUUAGAUACCCUGGUAGUCCACGCCCUAAACGAUGUCAACUAGCUGUUGGGGCCUUCGGGCCUUGGUAGCGCAGCUAACGCGUGAAGUUGACCGCCUGGGGAGAGUACGGUCGCAAGAUUAAAACUCAAGGAAUUGACAGGGACCCGCACAAGCGGUGGAUGAUGUGGAUUAAUUCGAUGCAACGCGAAAAACCUUACCUACCCUUGACAUGUCUGGAAUCGAAGAGAUUUGGAGUGCUCGCAGAGAACCGGAGAUUACAGGUGCCACAUGGCUGUCGUCAGCUCGUGUCGUGAGAUGUUGGGUUAGGAUCCCGCAACGAGCAGCCUUGUCGACUGGUUGCUGCGGGCACUCUAAUGGGACUGCCGGUGAUAUUGGGAGGAAGGUGGGGAUGACGUCAAGUCCUCAUGGCCCUUAUGGGUAGGGCUUCACGUCAUACAAUGGUCAGGACAGAGGUCCUUAUUGCGAGGGAGUAAUCCCGAAACUUGAUCGUCCGGAUCGCAGUCUGCAACUCGACUGCGUGAAGUCGGAAUCGCUGGUAAUCGCGGAUCAGCAUGUCGCGGUGAAUACGUUCCGGGUCUUGUACACACCGCCCGUCACACCAUGGGAGUGGUUUACCAGAAAGUAGUUAGCCUAACCGUAAGGAGGGCGAUUACUACGGUAGGAUUCAUGACUGGGGUGAAGUCGUAACAAGGUAG
rnacentral:rRNA from 1 species